rnacentral:rRNA from 1 species
UACGGAGGGUGCAAGCGUUAUCCGGAAUCAUUGGGUUUAAAGGGUCCGCAGGCUGUUUGUUAAGUCAGGGGUGAAAUCCUACCGCUCAACGGUAGAACUGCCUUUGAUACUGGCAAACUUGAGUUAUUGUGAAGUAGUUAGAAUGUGUAGUGUAGCGGUGAAAUGCAUAGAUAUUACACAGAAUACCAAUUGCGAAGGCAGAUUACUAACAAUUAACUGACGCUGAGGGACGAAAGCGUGGGUAGCGAACAGG